AAGGUUCUUCUAACAAGUUCUGUACAGUCAUGAUAUAACAAUGUUGUUACAACCUUGUGUCAUCAACCUUGUAACAUUCUUGUUAUAUCAUGACUGUAUCAGACUUUUUAGAGCAACCUU
rnacentral:miRNA from 1 species